AGGAGAGAACGCAGGUAACUUGUUUUUCUUUGGUUUUUACCAUAUAUUGGGGCUGAUGUGUACUGUAGUCCUUGCUGCUGCCCAGUAGUGAUGGGAGUGAGCGUAGGACUUAUCUUUCUGCAAGAUAGCAGUACUGUAUAUUAGAAAAGAAAUGACUCACAGGUUGUACCUGAUAGACCUACUUAAAUCUUUUUACUUUAUUCUUUCUGUCGCAUAGAAGUAUAAGUUUAUUACUCUGUUUUAUUGUAAGUUAUUUCACAUGGGAUCUAUGUGCCUGGUAUGAUUGUUGCUUUAAAAAUACUAUAAGCCCACUACACUUAUUAUGAGAGUGGGAUAGUGUAAAUGUGUUGCAUUGUUUGCAUGAUGAGCUCAGUAUAUUUUAUAACUGAGACAAAAAGUCACUUCAUUAGUAUUUGAAAGUUAAUUCCCCAUAUGGGAUUAAUUGUAUAGAAACACCAAUCAGCACAUCUUCCCUGCCCUGUGUGUUUGUUGCAAAGGAUCCAUACUGUAAAUAUGAUUUUUGUUUGAAAAUAACAGAGCAACAUUUACAUUUUCAGCGGUCCAACACAUGCUUUAUUUUGCACUGUAAACUAACCUUUUUAUUGCAACAGAUUCCUUUUAAAUCAUCCAGUGUAAUAACUACUGCUUGUGUCUUCUAUGUCUCACAUUAUGUGUUAUUUUUUAAUUGUGGUAUAUAGCCUGAAUCAGACAUCAUGGACAAAGGUUUUUACCUGUGUUACUAAGGGCUCUUGGAGACUGACCGGUCUAAAGGUUUGCCAUGCCUUUAAAACAUGGUAUAGUAUAAAUUUUUAAGUCUCUGAGAGUUCUGAAAGAUUCAGG